rnacentral:sRNA from 1 species
UUGAAGAGCAAAGAAGA